GGAUGUGAGGAUGAUCUGGCCGCGACAUCUGUCACCCCAUUGAUCGCCAGGGUUGAUUCAGCUGAUCUGGCUGGCUAGGCGGGUGUCCCCUUCCUCCCUCACCGCUCCAUGUACAUCCCUCCCGAAGCUGUGAGCUUGGUCAAAGAGGACGACCUUCCCCAAAUAGAGGAGGACCAGUCUUCAAUCAAGGGUAUACGAGUAGCUGCACUCCCCUGCUAGAACCUCCAAACAAGCUCUCAACCCAGUUAUCUCCCAGCAGCCUAUGGGGAGUGUACCUGAUAGGACCUCAAAAGUACAAGGACAAAUGUUUUGUUGUGUUUUUUCUU
ensembl:misc_RNA 7SK 7SK RNA